rnacentral:lncRNA from 1 species
GCAUGCGGGAGGCACGAGCCCAUUCUCCCGUGACGGUGACACCAACGGUUGGCUGAGGACGAUUCCCUGAGCCUUGACAAAGCAGGAGCCCUCCGUGGCGGUGCGUCGGUGUCGAGGCUCCAAUCUGACUAAUCCAGGGGGUCGACAAAACAGAUUCGGGACACUAUGCUACACGGAGGGCCUACCAGGAUGCAGAAACAGCAGACGGAGUCCAGGGAAAGCAGUGCGGCAUCCCAGCCUCAGGCCUGCCCGUACGGUGUUCGGAAAUACUAGGCUUUAGAAUUUCACCUUAUGAAUUUUGGGAGAGAGGAGCACAGUUCAGCCCAUAACUAACACACGACGGAAUGAAGUUGAUAAUAGUGAGACCUUGUUGGUACAAGACUCUGUAACAUAACCUGCGCUUCUCAACAAAGAAUUGCUUUUCUGACUUCUGCACUCAAUAGCAAGACAAAUCUCUCCUCUGUCUUUUUCUUAUCAGACUACUCAACAUGAAGGCAAUAAGAAUGAAGACCUUUAUGUAUAAUAAUUGACUUCCACUUAAUAAAUAAGGUUACUUGGUACACUGGUCGACAAAACCUUGAAAUGUUGAUGUUUAAGGGCUGUUGAUUGCUGGCAACAAAGAAGUCCAACUGUGCUGGUACCCGAGAUAGCGUCUCCACAUUUUCUUCCAGGAUCAUCACCUUUGUUGUAAAUAGCUCCCACAUAGUGUGAACAGAAGUCAUAUGUUUUAGAUUUUCUGCCUUGGCACCC